UCCCUCCCACCAAGGGAAUCACUUUCGAGCCUGGACAUCUUGUAGUGGGAGAGGUGAGAAGUUUGACUGAAACACACACGCUUUACCGCACAAUGAUACCAGCUUGGUGUGUGGCUUAGCAUGUGUGUAUAAAUCUGGGCUUGAUUGUAUUCCCAGUGAGUGUAUUUAUAUCCGUGGUAUUUUUUUGAUUAAUCCAGGCCCAUUGUUUCUCUAUGCCGUGGCUCUUGCUUCAUAUUAACAUGAUUAAAAACGGGUUUAAGGGUGUUCGAUGAGUCAGAGCCAACAAUAGGACGUGAGUUAUGUAAAUAGUGUAAUGUGCCCCAUACAACCCAACAUGACACAAAUCAACUGCCUGCUUGUAAUCAAGAGUCAGUGCAGGUGACACACACACACAUACACACAGCCAAUGAACACUGGGCAAACUCCAUUCCUGGCACAGAGCAGCCAAUCAUGGCAGCAUGCACACGUCACACACACUCUACAGCAGGGGUGUCAAACAUACGGCCAGCAGGCCCAUUCAAUCCGGCCAGCGAGGUGGUUUGAGUGGCACAUUAUACACAUGCCACUGAACACCCAUGGCCUCCACGAGUUAGUAUGUACUGUAUGUAUAUAUACUGAUCAAAAAUAUAAACGCAACAUGUAAUGCGUUGGUCCCAUGUUUCAUGUGAUGAAGUAAAAGAUCCCAGAAAGUUUUCAAUCAAACCCCCCCAAAAUUUCUCUCAGAUGUUAUGCACAAAUGUGACUCAUUUCAGGAAACUAGGCAUAUGUCGCAAGUCACUACCUUCACAGGAGAGGCGUUUGAACAUUUAUUUUUUAUCAAAAUGCGUUGGUGUUGGUCAGGACGUGAGCUGGGUGGGCAUUCUGUUGUGUGUCUGGUUUGUCUAUUUCUAUGUUUGGCCUGAUAUGGUUCUCAAUCAGAGGCAGGUGUUAGUCAUUGUCUCUGAUUGGGAACCAUAUUUAGGUAGCCUGUUUUGUGUUGGGUUUUGUGGGUGAUUGUUCCUGUCUAUGUGUUUGCACCAGAUAGGGCUGUUUAGGUUUUCGCACGUUUAUUGUUUUUGUUAGUUUAUUCAUGUAUAGUGUCUUUAUAAAUUAAACAUGAAUAACCACCACGCUGCAUUUUGGUCCGCCUCUCUUUCACCAGAAGAAAACUGUUACAGAAUCACCCACCACAUCAGGACCAAGUACAUGGCCUGGACAUGCGCUGGCUUGAGCAGGGGGACCCUGCGUGCGCUGCAGGAUUUUAAUCCAUGACGGCGUAGUGUGUUACUAAUGGUUUUCUUUGAGACUGUGGUCCCAGCUCUCUUCAGGUCAUUGACCAGGUCCUGCCGUGUAGUUCGGGGCUGAUCCCUCACCUUCCUCAUGAUCAUUGAGGAAGGACAGCACUGUGACAGGGGUCAACAUCCCACAGCUGGUUGGACUGGAGGAUGGUACGGUGCUGUUGGAAAGUUAUGGUUGGCAACAACUCCUGACUCCGUACUUCAGGCUGCUGACACAGAUCAAGCAGUACCAGGACUUCAGCUUUGAUGCUCUGGAGCCUGGUGUUAUUGUUUCCAAGGAGGGUUCGGACUUAGAAGGGACCAGGUUUCAGCUGCUGCGCAACGCUGACAUCCUUCCUCCCAUAGAUGGUCUGCCUGUACAAGCACCACCUUAACAGGACAAAGCUAGAAAAACUUAUAUUUUUGAGAAGAUCAGGGAAUUUUGCGACGAAGAUGCUAUGGACAUCACAUGCCCUGCACCAAAGUCAAGGGCAUGACAGAAACAGGCUCUCCAAAUGUAGAUUCCCUUGUUCAUUUGUGGUUCGGACGUACCAGUUCACUGGGGGCGAGUUCUCAGUCAGCAGCACCAUCUGUAGUGCCUCUAUUCACAUGACUCUCUCCUAACACACACAUUUUUUUUAUCCUGCUGCUCAGCCACUUUACCUCUGAUUGUAUGCAUACAACUACCUCAUCUAUCACUGAUAUUGUUCUUGUACAUACUGUAUAUUAUGUUGUUCUUUCUCUACUGGCAUUGACACUUGUUAUUUUAUUCUUUAUAUUAACACUAUUUCUGAUAUUGCUACUAUACAAGUAACCAUUUGGCUGUACCGUUUACACCUUCUGUAGAGACCCAUCCACUUAGCAAGAUGUGGCUGGGGGUUAUAGCAUUUCUUUCACAUGACCCAUCAAGUUAGACAAGUGUGUCAUCUAAUAUUUUUAAUUUUUAAUUUGGACACUUUCUGUUUACCUUGAAUGUUUCUUUAUUGCUGGCUACUACUUUUACCAACUAGUCUUAAUCUUUACUACACUACUCACUGUUUAGCAUUUGACCUCACAUGUGAAUCCUUAAAGAGAUGGGUGGGGCUGGCUUAAGAGGGUAUGAACAAUGCUGAAUGUGUGUAGACAAAGAAGAGCUCUCCAGUAGGUGUACCAAAACAUUCAAGGGCCUUUUUCUCAAAAGUGGGGUUACAAGUUUGUCAACUUUCAAAGCAGAAUUACUUUUAUGGGGGCAGAAAUUCCUUUUGGAACAUGUGAUCUUUCACAAGCCUUAAUAACAAACUUGUAUUACAUCCAUAAAUAUAAAUACAUGGCUAAAAUAUGAGUUGGUUUAGCCACAGAAAAUGUCAGGAACCUUCCUGCUAGCCAUGAUUGGCUGAGAUAAUGGAUGUGCCGGACAUGACGGGAUUCAGUUUGGAUUCAAAUCAAAUCAAAUGUAUUUAUAUAGCCCUUCUUACAUCAACUGAUAUCUCAAAGUGCUGUACAGAAACCCAGCCUAAAACCCCAAACAGCAAGCAAUGCAGGUGUAGCGGCACGGUGGCUAGGAAAAACUCCCUAGAAAGGCCAGAACCUAGGAAUAAACCUAGAGAGUUGGUCUGCCUUGUAGCACGCUUCUGUCUGUAACAUGAGCUGUUCAGUACGUGUUGAUAGUACUUUCUACAGUGACGUUUUUGAAAGAUAUAACGUUAGCCAUCAAAAACUACACAAGUUUUGCUACUUUUUUUCAACAACAUUGAUGCCCUGAAUUUAAGGAGCUUUAGCUACCUGCAGAUUCAUACUACAGGGAUUGGAUUAUGCCGGUUCUUUGAUCUAAACAAAAGACUCCAAUUUGGCCCUAUUAUUACAUGACCCAUCACAUUAGCCAGGUGUGUCUGGGGGUGAUUACAUCCAUCUAUUAUAUUUCAUGAACAUGUGUACAUGUCUAGACUAUAGUGACCCAUCCACUCAGCUAGAUGUGGCUGGGGGGUGGUUAGCGCAUUUCCAUCACAUGACCCAUCAAUUUAGAAAAGGGUGUCGGGUAACCGUCAUCUAAUAAUUAUAAAAUAGUUUUAUUUAGACACUUUCUGUUUUGAUAUUGCUACUAUGCAAGUAACCAUGUCAGUGCGCCGUUUACACCUUCUGUAUCCUGUGCAUGUGACAAAUAAACAUAGAUUUUGUUUGAUAUUGUCACGCCCUGGUCGAAGUAUUUUGUGUUUAUCUUUAUGUAUUGGGUCAGGCCAGGGUGUGGCAUGGGGUUUUUGUAUUGUGGUGUGUUUUGUCUUGGGGUUUUGGUAUAUAGUGGGAUUGUAGCUCGUGGGGUGAUCUAGCAGAGUCUAUGGCUGUCUGGAGUGGUUCUCAAUCAGAGUCAGGUGUUUAUCGUUGUCUCUGAUUGGGAACCAUAUUUAGGCAGCCAUAUUCUUUGGUUGUGUUGUGGGUGAUUGUCCUUAGUGUCCUUGGUCUGUGUUAGUUGACACAAGUAUAGGCUGUUUUUGGUUUUCGUUACGUUUAUUGUUUUUGUAGUGUUUUGUAUUGAUUCGUGUUACGUUUGUUUGAUUAAACAUGGAUCGCAAUCUACACGCUGCA